CCCACCUUCACCCAAACCACUUCAUUGAGCUGAAGUGGUCUGGGUGCCUUUAGUGGUCCUUUAAUGCUUGUCUCUAGAACAGACAAUGUUACUGUAAGGAUAUUUAUUUACCUUUAGCGUUAGAGCACUUUACAAUGAGAAGGCCCAAAAUCGGUCACAUUAUGUGUUUAGGAAUGGUAUCAUCUAAAUUGUAUUGCAAAAACCAAG